rnacentral:rRNA from 1 species
AUUGAACGCUGGCGGCAUGCUUUACGCAUGCAAGUCGAACGGUAACAGGCCUUCGGGUGCUGACGAGUGGCGCACGGGUGAGUAAUGCAUCGGAACGUGCCCAGAGGUGGGGGAUAACGCAGCGAAAGCUGUGCUAAUACCGCAUGUGAUCUGAGGAUGAAAGCGGGGGACCAGGCAGCAAUGUUUGGCCUCGCGCCUUUGGAGCGGCCGAUGUCAGAUUAGGUAGUUGGUGGGGUAAAGGCCUACCAAGCCGACGAUCUGUAGCUGGUCUGAGAGGACGACCAGCCACACUGGGACUGAGACACGGCCCAGACUCCUACGGGAGGCAGCAGUGGGGAAUUUUGGACAAUGGGCGCAAGCCUGAUCCAGCAAUGCCGCGUGCGGGAAGAAGGCCUUCGGGUUGUAAACCGCUUUUGUACGGAACGAAAAGGCUCUGGCUAAUACCUGGGGCUGAUGACGGUACCGUAAGAAUAAGCACCGGCUAACUACGUG